CCUUUUUAUCCCUUGGAGCAAUUGCAACGAUAGCUGGGACUAUUGUUGGUCCUCACAAUCGCUGUUGUUAUCCUUGCAAGCACAAGUUGUUGGAUUCUUUUGGCUUUAUCACAUGUUUAGUAACCUACUUCCCAAUCAAACACCACGGGAAGCUUUUCUCUUUCUUGAAAGUCCUUUAGAUCCAAAGAAAAGAAGUUGUAAGCAGUUUCCUUGGCUACAGAAGCAUAACUGCAUGGAUUGAAGCCCAACGCAUUACUAUGGUUGCUGUAGCUACUGAGAGUGAUUUGGAAAUUCGUCGCUCCCAUGGGGAUACUUGUCUGGCAGCAGCCAAUGCCAGAGCAAGAGCCGUUCAUCACAUUGUUGACGCUGUCACACAGUGACAAGUAACCCGUGGUACACCUUUUUUCUCUAGGAACCUUAGAUAACAACAUACAUGUCAGAGUCAACAGCUGUGAACUUGUUUCCAGUAUUUGACAUGGAGAAUUUAGGCACUGUGAUCCAGGGAUCAAAUUUGUCUUUCCAAACACCCCCUUCACUAAUGUUGUGUUUGGUUGGGGGAUUUGGAAAGGGAAAUGGAAAAGGUAGGUGAAAUGUGAAUAAAUUAUGCCUAUAUUUCACAUAGUUUCACACACCUUUUCCCUUUCUCUUUCCAAAUCCCUUCCCAAAUCCCCCAACCAAACACAGCAUAAAGCAAUCAAACCCUAUCCAGGUUGAAAUGCUCUAUUCACCAGAAAGAAGUAUCUUUGUUAUCUCUAAGUUACUCUCAGACUUACCAAGUUAGUUACAGAACUUAAUUACCUAAUGUAGUUAUGUCUUGUACCAGCACUUUAUUUGUCUUGAAUACACUCAAUUCCUGAUGUUAAAGGUAUGUUGAAGUAAUCUAUUAGAGCCAAAUAUCCAUCAAGUAGCUGCCACGACAGGGUUUUCUACUGAUCUUUCAUGAUAUUGCCUCCGGAUCUAUUAUUUUCAUCUUGGAGGAAUACCUUGCUUAUGCUUGCUUCUAAGCUCAAAAAAGGUCAUGAAUAGCAUGUAGUGCUAUAGCAAGAUUUUGUUUUGGGAUUUUAUCAUUUAUAUAAUUUGUCAACAGAGGAAAAUAGAUCAUCUGCUUUGAAUGGUUUCAAGAUGGGUAUAUGAUGCUAUUAACUAUUGAUAUUCCUUCUACUUAAUUUUAUUAGAAUUCUAUUAUUAUGUUUUAAAAAUUCCCUAUUGCUUUAAAAUUUCUCUGAGGGAAGUUACUUUGUACAAAUUAUGUCGAAGGUUAGGUCCCAAUGGGCACUAAAUUGGGCGUACUGUUUUAAUUAAUGUUUAAAUUUACUAUCCGACGGAAAAUAUAACGAUGAAUGGAUUGCAGGUGCAAAAUCUAGUUGCAGAAAUUGUUGAUUCCAAGAUGGGCAAACAAGUAAUUCUUCCUUAUUCUUGUAAUUAAUUUUCUAUGUAAAAUUCAUGGCUUGGUAUAGUGCUCACACAAGUUAAAUUUUCUUUUGCCACAAUCCUGCAAAUCCCUACAGAUUACAAGAAUCAAGCCGUCCCUCACUUUCAUUCCCGCAGAGGAAGUGAUGAGCCUUGUGACUGCUCAUGUGGCGAAGCAUAGUGGAAAGACAUUCUGAAUGCAGAGGGUGAUGAAAUAUAUGUGAAGAAAACUCAGAGCCCAAACCCAGAUCUAGAGUUAAUGUUUGGAUUAAAGGAGACAUACAAGGAAGAAAGGAAAAUCUGUGAACGAAGUACUUGAGGCAGUAGUGGUAUAGUACUAUUAGCUCCAUUAUGUAUAUAUUCCAUUAUAAUUUACACUCAUAUUAAAGAUUGUUUAGAAAGUUUUGGACAGUUUUUAGAACUUAAGGAUAUUUUGUUUUGGAUGAUUUAGAAUUGUUUGGAUGGUUUUGAACUUGAAGGUAGUUUUUAAUGUCUAGAAACAUAGGCUUUGUUUGGUUUGUUUUUCAGAAAAAAUUUUGGGAAAAAUUCUCGACAAACAAAUUUUCAAGA